UAGUUUGACCUCGGAUCAGGU
rnacentral:rRNA from 1 species